GCCGAAACGCUCCGAUCUGGAGCGUCCACCGUGGAAUGGUCACCCGGUGCUGAUGAUGGCAGAC
rnacentral:hammerhead_ribozyme from 1 species